CUACAUANAGACUGGAUAACAGAGGGAAACUUCUGAUAAUACUGGAUAAGUUAGUAGUAGCAUUACUAAGUAAUGAAAGGUAGCAAUACGCUAUAUGAGAGCUUUGCAUCCUAUUAGCUAGUUGGUGGGGUAAAAGCCUACCAAGGCGAUGAUAGGUAGCCGGCCUGAGAGGGUGGACGGCCACAAGGGGACUGAGAUACGGCCCUUACUCCUACGGGAGGCAGCAGCA
rnacentral:rRNA from 1 species